rnacentral:pre_miRNA from 1 species
CCCUUAACUAUUAAAAGUUUCGUUUUGGUCCCUUAACUUAUUUUUUGGUUUCGUUUUGGUCCAUUAACUCUUCCUCCGUCAACCACUUUGGUCCUUUAUGUUAGGAUGAAUGUAUUAGAGUUAAGUGACCAAAACGAAACCAAAAAAUAAGUUAAGGGACCAAAAUGAAACCAAAAAAUAAGUUAAGGGACCAAAACAAAACUUUUAAUAGUUAAGGGACAAAAACGAAAUCAAAAAGUAAGUUAAUGGACCAAAACGAAACUUUUAAUAGUUAAGGGA